rnacentral:rRNA from 1 species
AUAUUCCAGUACUUUUUAUAACAGCGAUGCGGUGACGGAGUAGUGACACUGACGCGAACUGACGGAAUAGUUCGUUAAAGGCCGUAGGUAUAUGGACUGUAGUAAAGUACGCAGACCAUGCUGAAAGCUGAUAGUACUUGAAACCUUCGGGGGACGAGAUAGUCCAGGUAACCAGACUUCCAAGAAAACCCGCUAAGCUUCAGGUUAUAAAAACCCGUACCGUAAACCGACACAGGUAGUCGAGGAGAGAAUCCUAAGGUGCUCGAGUGAAUCAUGGCUAAGGAACUCGGCAAAAUGGCCCUGUAACUUCGGGAGAAGGGGCGCUGUCAGCAAUGGCAGCCGCAGUGAAAAGGCCCAGGCGACUGUUUAACAAAAACACAUGGCUUUGCAAAAUCGAAAGAUGACGUAUAAGGCCUGACACCUGCCCGGUGCUGGAAGGUUAAGAGGGGAUGUUAGGAGCAAUUCGAAGCAUUGAAUCGAAGCCCCAGUAAACGGCGGCCGUAACAAUAACGGUCCUAAGGUAGCGAAAUUCCUUGUCGGGUAAGUUCCGACCUGCACGAAUGGUGUAACGAUCUGGGCGCUGUCUCAGCCAUGAGCUCGGUGAAAUUGUGGUAUCGGUGAAGACGCCGGUUACCCGCAACGGGACGGAAAGACCCCAUGCACCUUCACUACAACUUAACAUUGAUAUCGGAUACAGGAUGUGUAGGAUAGGUGGGAGACUGUGAUCCAGCUUCGCUAGGAGUUGGUUAGUCAACGUUGAAAUACCACCCUUUCUGUAUUUGGUGUCUAACCCUGCAAAGCGGGGGACAUUGUUUGGCGGGUAGUUUGACUGGGGUGGUCGCCUCCAAAAAGGUAACGGAGGCUUUCAAAGGUAAGCUCAGUACGCUUGGUAACCGUACGCGGAGUGCAAUAGCAUAAGCUUGCUUGACUGUGAGGCAGACAAGCCGAGCAGGGUCGAAAGACGGAUAUAGUGAUCCGGUGGUUCUGCAUGGAAGGGCCAUCGCUCAAAGGAUAAAAGGUACGCUGGGACAACAGGCUGAUCUCCCCCAAGAGCUCAUAUCGACGGGGAGGUUUGGCACCUCGAUGUCGGCUCGUCACAUCCUGGGGCUGGAGAAGGUCCCAAGGGUUGAGCUGUUCGCUCAUUAAAGUGGCACGCGAGCUGGGUUCAGAACGUCGCGAGACAGUUCGGUCCCUAUCUGUUGUGGGCGCAGGAAGUUUGAGUGGGGCUGACCUUAGUACGAGAGGACCGGGUUGGACUAACCUCUGGUGAAUCUGUUAUGGCGCCAGCUGUAUUGCAGAGUAGCUACGUUGGGAAUAGAUAAGCGCUGAAAGCAUCUAAGUGCGAAACUAGCCACAAGAUGAGAUUUCCAUUGAGGGUCGUAGGAGACUACUACGUUGAUAGGUUACAGGUAUAAAGGUGGUGACAUCAUAGCCGAGUAAUACUAAUUGCCC